UGGUUUCUUCAGAGGUAAUAAGGAAAGAGAUAAAGCAGAGAAAUUAUUUUUUCUUUAAGUGUUGUCCCUCGAUGUAAUUCAUUAAAACCUUUUUGUUGGCCACCCAGCUGAUGUUGGAAAUGCUGUUUUAUUUCAAGCAGAGUGAGAAAGAAAAGCUCUUUUCCUGUCAUUAAUACCAGACAAACUCAGAGAACGAAUUCAGAGGAAUAAAUCAGUUUUUCACUGGCGUUGGGAGCAGGACCUGCCCUUUUCCAGCUCGAAUUAAUGUCAGAUCUGCAGUGGCUGCACAGAAAACUGGGCUUGACGUGCUCAGGGCAGGAUUUAUCCUGUGGGGUUCAGGACCAGAGCAAAGAUCCCUCCCAGCGGGGUCAGACCCAGCCCUCUCCUCUCUCACAGAUAGUCCAGGCUUAGCUGAGCCUGGAGUUAAGCUGGAUUUGGGAACUUCCCUGGGUUUCGGUGGAGUUUUGGCUCCUGCCCCUUGUGCAGGGAUUUAUCCUGGCUUCAAAACGAGCAGAUUUCAUCCUCCCCAUCACCCUUCUGUCUGUCCGUGGGACUCAGCAGAGCAAACCCUGCUGCCUGUGGAGCUUUGUGCAGCCAGGAUCCCCCAAAAUCCAUCCCCAAAAUCCAUCCCUCGUUCAGCCCGGCAGGAUCCCCCAAAAUCCAUCCCCAAAAUCCAUCCCUCGUUCAGCCCGGCAGGAUCCCCCAAAAUCCAUCCUCAAAAUCCAUCCCCAAAAUCCAUCCCUCGUGCAGCCAGGCAGGAUCCCCAAAAUCCAUCCCCAAAAUCCAUCCUCAAAAUCCACCCCUUGCCCAACCAGACAGGAUCCCCCAAAAUUCAUCCCUUGUUCAGCUAGGCAGGAUCCCCAAAAUCCAUCCCUUGUGCAGCCAGGAUCCCCCAAAAUCCAUCCCCAAAAUCCAUCCCUCGUUCAGCCCGGCAGGAUCCCCCAAAAUCCAUUCUUUGUUCAGCCCGGCAGGAUCCCCCAAAAUCCAUCCUCAAAAUCCAUUCCCAAAAUCCAUCCCUCGUGCAGCCAGGCAGGAUCCCCAAAAUCCAUCCCCAAAAUCCAUCCUCAAAAUCCACCCCUUGCCCAACCAGACAGGAUCCCCCAAAAUUCAUCCCUUGUUCAGCUAGGCAGGAUCCCCAAAAUCCAUCCCUUGUGCAGCCAGGAUCCCCCAAAAUCCAUCCCCAAAAUCCAUCCCUCGUUCAGCCCGCCAGGAUCCCCCGAAAUCCAUCCCCAAAAUCCAUCCCUGUUCAGCCCGGCAGGAACCCCCCUCCAUCCCCCAAAAUCCACCCCUUGUGCAGCCAGGAUCCCCCGAAAUCCAUCCCCAAAAUCCAUCCCUGUUCAGCGCGGCAGGCUCUCCCCCCUCCAUCCCCAAAACCCAGCAGCAACACGAGCCGCUCAUUUUUCAGCGCCUUUCCGCCCGCUCUCGGCUCCGGCUCCACGCAGGAGCCAGCCGGGCAGACUCACCAAUAUUUUCAUAAUUAACUGCCCCAGAAUGUUCCUAAUUUGUAAACACAGUAAAAGAGCCGGGAGACAGAGGGGCAGCGUGUGUGUGACGGGACGGCGAGGGCGGGGGACGUUUCCUCGGGCAAUUCACGCUGGAUUCAGGAAAUCUGGGAAGGUGCCCGCUGCUGUUAAGCGAUCGGGCUCACGGCUCAGAGCGAUUUUUCUUCAAGUGUCACCGCUGCACACAACCGCCGUGUGUUCUUUCUUGGCUCCGCUCCCCCCGAUGCCGCUCCAGCCUGUUCGCAUCCAUUCGCUGCAGCGGGGACCGGGACAGAGCUGGGGUUUGAUGCUCUGCUCCUCCUCCUCCUCCUCUCGCUUCCACCAGAAGGGGCCCUCCUGAUUUUUUUUUUUUUUUUUUUUUUUUGGGGGGGGGCCCCCCCCCCCCCCCCCCCCCCCCCCCCCCCCCCCCCCCCCCCCCCCCCCCCCCCCCCCCCCCCCCCCCCCCCCCCCCCCCC
rnacentral:lncRNA from 12 species